UUGGUCGAGUUAAUGGAGUUGUUUCGGCUCAUCGAACUUUCAGAUGCAUGGUGGCCCUAAGUCAUGCGGUUUACACGAGCUGGAUGGCAGCUGCAACUUUCUUUUUUUCCGUUGCCUUAUUUUCAUGUUUAUAGUUUAUGUUAUUUCGUGAGAGUUUUAACUAUGGGAGUGGCGGUGGUGUCCAUAGAUAGAUUUGAUAUGAAGACAAUGUUGACAGUAAUUCAAGAGUGAAAGAUAGACUGCACCCGCGGUGGUGCUGAUAACUAAGGAUCCUAGGUUGUUAGACGGCUAAGCUUUUAGCUCUCUAGAUGUUGUAGGUUGCAGCGUUGCUUCGCUUAGGAAAAGCGUAGUUGAACUGUUCCGUGAACAAUUUCAAAAUUUGACGUUAUAUCAGGUUAGUUAAACACCAAACUUGGAUUUUUACCAUUAACCGGUGGUUAAUUUCUCAUAUUGGUUAUUCAAUGUGUAGCGUAUGAUCUACCAUUAAGUAAUAAAAAAGUACAGAUGGAACGUCACGUUAGCUACCGGCAAAUGCUCCCCUGCUUUUAUUUCAAAUUUGAAUUGAAUUGCUAAAUGUUUUUAAAUCCUAACUUAUUGUACCAAGUAAAAUCAUUUUAAUUAAAAUGCAAAAAUUCAUAAAGGUUUAAAUUUUUUAUGCCAUUAUCCAAAAAUAUAUUAAAUGUCAUGAAAUACAUCAUAAUAGUUAAUUGACAAAAGGAGAGAAGCACCACGGUACUUCUCCGUUUCGGUUAGUCAAAUAACCUUAUAGGGGUGUUGGAGUUGGUGGUAUUAGAGCUAACGUUUAGGCCUUUCUAGGUGUUAAGGAGAAGGAACAAGUAUAAGCAAAUGUGUAUACCUUAUAGGUUAAGGUCUGGAUAUAACUCUACUAUAGGCUUUUGUAAGUUGGCUAAGAAUGUUAUUUGACAUUCAACAUGUGUUAGAAGAUACAGGUGAUAGUCUAAAGUCGUGAUCGCGAUAAUCUAUUCAAUGCUACAAAUGUUUGUAUUGUAAGCUGCAGAUUGCAUUAUGGACAUUAGAGCAUUGAGUGGAAAUUGUGUGCAUCACUUUUAAGAAUCUGCUAGGAUAUAGUAGAUGCCUUAUAUCUGAUGCAGCUGUACCAUGACAAGUUUCUAACUGCUAUGAAUUGACUUCAAAUAAAAGUUUAUAUCCUUUUAGAAUAAAAUACUAGAGAUAUUAGCAAUAAGGUAUAGAAAAAUUCUAUGAGAGCGACAAUGUACUCAAAAAAUAUAAUUGUUUUUGUGUUGUUUAUCGUUAAAAAGAGGAAUUUUAUAAAUAUUAUGAUAUAAGAGAAAUGAAAAAAAGGAGAGGUAUGAGCAGGUGAAAUAGGCUAGAACAUGUUAGUGACCAAUCUUCUUGUUCACUUUUUACUGUGAUGAUUGUUUGAUAUCGAAACAGUCUUAACCUUCGAGAGAAAUAAAUUUGAAUUAUCAUAGUAACGGAUUCAAGAGUUUUAAAGAAAGCUUAAUUAUCUAAACAUUGUGUAAGAGAAGAUUGAAGAUACAAGGAGAAUACGCACAUAAAAUAAGUAAUAGUUAUGAGAUGGUAGGUGUGAUUAAGGGGUUAAUUUAUCUCAUUAAUGACAUAUUAGUUACUCUAGCUAGGAAAAAAUAAGGAAGAUUGUAGAGUCUAUCAAACUUUUAAGAAUAUGACAUAAAUAGUGUAUGAAUUCCUAAUGUACUUUUUGAUAAAUAUUUUGAUUCAUCACUUGGAAGUGGAUAGAGUUGCCUUUAAGAUUAUAUUGAAGGUCUAUGUUGGAAAACCGAAUUAAUCACUGCAAUAGUUUAUUCUUUUUCCCUUUUUAGAAGCAUUAUUAUAUUUGAUAAGGUUAGAUAAAUUAUUUUGGCGGAAUUGAUGUUAUUUGAGAUAAUAUUGUUGUUUAUUGGAAGUUUAGUUUUUAUCUAUAUUGGUGAUAUAGUUUGAUUUUAAACACUUUAAUUGGUACAAGUAAUUAUUAUUGAUAGGUUAUAUUGAUAUCUGUUUAUAUAUAAAUAUGUGUAUAUAUAUAUAUAUAUAUAUAUAUGUUUUGAAUAUUGGUAUUUAGUUUCUUAAUAAGAUUGUGCAAAGUAUAGCUAUGAAAAUAUGAAAAUAUAAUUAUUUAUAUUUCCUUAGUUAUUUACUGGAUUCUAGAUAUAACCCUUAUUCCUCCAAUAGAUUGUUGAAUAAAUGAAUAAGAUUGUUUUUGUAUAGCAUAGUGUGAUAUUGUGGUUGAUUAUUAGCAAGAAUAAAUUAUGUUUGUAUAAACUUUAUGUUAUUAUCUAUUGUUAAGAGCUACGUGGACCUGAUCCUCUAUUGGAGGUACGUAGGCAGCCUUCGGGUGCGGUCGAAAUAUAACAUAUGUUAAGACUUUAAUUAGCAAAUAGUAGCAAUGUAAAUUCAAGCCAUAUUAACAGAUUUGUGAUAUAAAAGGCAGUGUCGCAGUCUAGAUAUAGAACGUAAGUUGGCAUUUGAAAGGCAGUGUCGUAGUUCAGUUAUGAGGCAUAGACGAAGUGUCGCACCUAUCCCAAUUCCUCAUUCACUAGCAGACUAAAUGAAAUUAUUGCUUGAAAAAAUAAAGAAUAAUGGCAUAAAAAUCCAAAAUUUUAUUUCUUGGCACAAUAAAUUAGGAUUUAAAAAUAUUUGGCUAUUCUUUCUAAAUUUGAAUUGAAAGUGGGGGAGCAUCUGUCGGUAGCAGGCCAUAUUGUAUUUUUAUAUUACUUGAUGCUGGACUCUACGCUACACCUUGGAUAACCAAGGCGAGGUAUUAAUCGUUGGUUAAUUAAGAUAAAAUUCUUAAAUGGUGUAGAAAAACCUAAAACGCUCUCAUCGACGCCGUCGCUCGCUGCCGAAUUUAUUUUUUCCACUUCGUCCUUCGCACAAAAAGUUGGCCUUCUCGCUUCACCACCAUUUUGGCCUCAGAAAAGGAGAUAUUGCCUUCGUGCUUUCUCUUAGCUCUAUUCACCUUUCGGUCCUUUAUUUCUAUAUCUUCUCUCUCGGUGUCGUUACCUCUCAUAAAAAAUCAAUUAUCUUUAAACUUGAGAUUCUCCACCAAAUUCAGCUGUCGAAACCUGUACUUGUGUUCGUCAUGUCGAAUGCUGCUCAUACAAUUCCUAAUCUCAAAACAAUCGUACUCGACUCUCCCGAGUUUGAAUCGCUGAUGAUUGAGGAUCCUAACUAAUGAAAACUAAGUGUGGUUGUUCUCCUAUAAAAUGCUCUGGUUUACUAGAGAUGUUAAAGCUACUGGCAAUAAAUAUUGCCUAGAGGAGAAUCUGGAAAAUUAGCUCUUCUCUUCAUAAUCAGUGUCUCACUAAAAGGACAUUACUGUACGGUGCAUGGAAAUGCAUGCUAGAAUUCCUAACCUGUUGGACCUUGAUGGCCUAAAACUUAGUUUCUUUAGGCUGGGUGUUGUCCCUUAACUUAGUUUUUGCACUCUUGAGCAAUACCUGCCUGGCAGUUAUUCCUUUGUUGAUGAUGCUAGCUGUUUGUGUUCCGCCUACUGAAGUUGGUCCUUCAGGGUUUUAUAGAUCCCGGUGCAAGUGCUGAUCUUGCUGUGGUUUUAAUGCAAGAAGGACUUGCACACAUCUUACUUGUCGGUAAAAGCUACUCGAUCAAGGAUAGAGACUUCAAUUCCUCGAAAGCAUGGCCCUGCCAUUGCUGGUUAUGAGUCGGCAUUGAAUAAGUUCUUUGAGCAUGUUUUACAGGCUUUCCUAAAGCAUAUUGAUUUCAGUGUCAUUCGUUGUGCGGUGAUUGCAAGCCCUGGUUUCACUAAGGUUUGCAAUAAAUGUGUUCCUACAAUCAGGUCAAUGGUAAGCCAACAUGUGCUGAUCCAAAUCUUCUUUCUAGGGUCAUUCGAGGCGAAUGGAAAUUGAAUGGAUACAUAGUUUCUGACUGUGAUUCAAUAUAUGAGUUCUUCAAUGGACAGCACUAUACCAAAACACCAGAAGAAGCUGCAGCUACAGCAAUAUUGGCAGGUCUGGAUCUCAAUUGCUGGUGAUUCUUAGGCCAGCACACUGAAGUCUUGGUCCCACUAUGAUGAGUCGAAUAUUGACAAGGCUAUCUCAAAUAAUUUUGCUACUAUGAUGAGACUUGGUUUUUUUUAUGGUGAUCCUACCAAGCAAAUCUAUGGAAAUCUUGGUCCAAAACAUGGUAUCCACUAUCAUUCAUGAACAUGAGAGCAGAUCCUUUGACGGGCUAUCCAGGCAGAACCUACAGAUUUCAUACUGGACAAACUGUUUAUUCAUCCAAGAGCUCCAAGCAUAGCCCAUCUGCAGUGAAUCACUUCAAGCUCACGGUUCUUGACAAAAGUUUCUGAGUCAGCACAGAGACCAACAAUAUCCCAUCCAUAGUCACCUGGGAACUCACUAGUCAAGUAAGACGGAAGCUCACUGGAGAAUGGACAUGGCCAUUGCCCAUGAGCUUAGGGGCAAAGGAGAAGAGCUUCACCGCCUUGCUAGUGGAAGUGGUGGGUGGAAAAGAGAAGGGGUCCAAUGGGUAUUAAUAGAUAGUUGGGGAUGGAUUUCCUUAUCUCAGUGAAAUCUACGUUCAGGAUUCCAUAAGAGGAGUAUUUAAAUCUAUCACUUCAUUGGAAGUUGUAGAUUUUAUUUGUUUGUUUUUUUUAUCCUAUAUGAUAUUCUUUGGACCGCUAAAUUCUUAUAUUUAUUUAUUGUUCAUAUCGAUGUUCCAUAUUUAGAUUGAUCGAUCCAUACUUUGAUAAAUUUUCACAUUAAAAAAAAAAUUUUUU